GACGAACGCUGGCGGCGUGCUUAACACAUGCAAGUCGAACGAAGAGCGAUGGAAGCUUGCUUCUAUCAAUCUUAGUGGCGAACGGGUGAGUAACGCGUAAUCAACCUGCCCUUCAGAGGGGGACAACAGUUGGAAACGACUGCUAAUACCGCAUACGAUCUAACCUCGGCAUCGAGGAUAGAUGAAAGGUGGCCUCUACAUGUAAGCUAUCACUGAAGGAGGGGAUUGCGUCUGAUUAGCUAGUUGGAGGGGUAACGGCCCACCAAGGCGAUGAUCAGUAGCCGGUCUGAGAGGAUGAACGGCCACAUUGGGACUGAGACACGGCCCAGACUCCUACGGGAGGCAGCAGUGGGGAAUCUUCCGCAAUGGACGAAAGUCUGACGGAGCAACGCCGCGUGAGUGAUGACGGCCUUCGGGUUGUAAAGCUCUGUUAAUCGGGACGAAAGGCCUUCUUGCGAAUAGUUAGAAGGAUGACGG
rnacentral:rRNA from 1 species